GAACAAGGAUGAUGAUCUUUCCCAAAGAUACUGAAGUUCAAUAUAUAUAAUCAUCAUCAAAGAUCAUGUAAUUGCCGCUCCUCCUGGCUCUUUCCUCUCUAUCAGCCUUGGUUAUAAGCCUCUCAAAAGCCUCAGUUCCAUUCUCUUCCAUAUAUUUCUCAGCAGCAGUUAAAAUGUCAUCUGGCUUACUGAAAAUGUCCUUCUUCCGAGGGACAUACCAGAUUCUUUGAGCAGCUUGUGGGUUCAUGUAGACUGGUCUGAUGAAGUGCUGAUAAACAUGUGCUGCUCCAUUGAAGUGUGGCAGAACCAACCAACAGGUGACUAUCAGCUUGGCGUAAGGCCAGAUUGGGAUACAUUCCAGGAUUUUGGAAAAUGUUAGCUCGAAUAUGGUCAUCAUGGAAUACAGAACCCAAUAGGUUAGCCAUUGCUGGUCAUCUGUGCGAGAUUUCGACUCUAUAGCCUUAAUUGAAGCAUAUAAGGGGUAAACAAGAGUGACUAGAGGUAGAGCAAGAACAUCAAAGUUUUUUUGCCACAACUUGGAGAAAAUUUCCAGACCCAGAGCCACCCAUCUCUUGUUCUUGCCCACUAAACUUUCUUUUUCCGAUACUGCACUUUUUCUUUCUUUCUUUCUUUCUUUAUUUCCGUCUUUCUAUACAAGUCUUAGAGGAGAGGAGACGCACUAU
rnacentral:misc_RNA from 1 species